rnacentral:rRNA from 1 species
AGGUUAAGUUAAUAAGGGCGCACGGUGGAUGCCUUGGCACUAGGAGCCGACGAAGGACGUGACAAACGACGAUAUGCCUUGGGUAGCUGUAAGUAAGCGAUGAUCCAGGGAUUUCCGAAUGGGGGAACCCAACAGGUAAUACCUGUUACCUACAUCUGUUAAGGAUGUGAGGAGGAAGACGCAGUGAACUGAAACAUCUAAGUAGCUGCAGGAAGAGAAAGCAAAAGCGAUUGCCUUAGUAGCGGCGAGCGAAACGGCAGAAGGGCAAACCGAAGAGUUUACUCUUCGGGGUUGUAGGACUGCAAUGUGGACUCAAAGAUUAUAGAAGAAUGAUUUGGGAAGAUCAGCCAAAGAGAGUAAUAGCCUCGUAUUUAAAAUAGUCUUUGUACUUAGCAGUAUCCUGAGUACGGCGGGACACGUGAAAUCCCGUCGGAAUCUGGGAGGACCAUCUCCCAACCCUAAAUACUCCCUAGUGACCGAUAGUGAACCAGUACCGUGAGGGAAAGGUGAAAAGCACCCCGGGAGGGGAGUGAAAUAGAACCUGAAACCGUGUGCCUACAACAAGUUCGAGCCCGUUAAUGGGUGAGAGCGUGCCUUUUGUAGAAUGAACCGGCGAGUUACGUUAUGAUGCGAGGUUAAGUUGAAGAGACGGAGCCGUAGGGAAACCGAGUCUGAAUAGGGCGCCUUAGUAUCAUGACGUAGACCCGAAACCAUGUGACCUACCCAUGAGCAGGUUGAAGGUGCGGUAAGACGCACUGGAGGACCGAACCAGGGCACGUUGAAAAGUGCUUGGAUGACUUGUGGGUAGCGGAGAAAUUCCAAACGAACUUGGAGAUAGCUGGUUCUCUCCGAAAUAGCUUUAGGGCUAGCGUCGACAUUAGAGAUUCUUGGAGGUAGAGCACUGUUUGGGUGAGGGGUCCAUCCCGGAUUACCAAUCUCAGAUAAACUCCGAAUGCCAAUGAAUUAUGGUCGGCAGUCAGACUGCGAGUGCUAAGAUCCGUAGUCGAAAGGGAAACAGCCCAGACCACCAGCUAAGGUCCCAAAAUAAUUGUUAAGUGGAAAAGGAUGUGGGGUUGCACAGACAACUAGGAUGUUAGCUUAGAAGCAGCUAUUCAUUCAAAGAGUGCGUAAUAGCUCACUAGUCGAGUGACCCUGCGCCGAAAAUGUACCGGGGCUAAAACAAUUUACCGAAGCUGUGGAUACCUUUAUAGGUAUGGUAGGAGAGCGUUCUAUGUGUGAUGAAGGUAUACCGUGAGGAGUGCUGGAACGCAUAGAAGUGAGAAUGCCGGUAUGAGUAGCGAAAGACAGGUGAGAAUCCUGUCCACCGUAAGACUAAGGUUUCCAGGGGAAGGCUCGUCCGCCCUGGGUUAGUCGGGACCUAAGGAGAGACCGAAAGGUGUAUCCGAUGGACAACAGGUUGAUAUUCCUGUACUAGAGUAUGUAGUGAUGGAGGGACGCAGUAGGCUAACUAAAGCAGACGAUUGGAAGAGUCUGUCUAAGCAGUGAGGUGUGAAUUGAGUCAAAUGCUUAAUUCUAUAACAUUGAGCUGUGAUGGGGAGCGAAGUUUAGUAGCGAAGUUAGUGACGUCACACUGCCAAGAAAAGCUUCUAGCGUUUAAACAUACUCUACCCGUACCGCAAACCGACACAGGUAGUCGAGGCGAGUAGCCUCAGGUGAGCGAGAGAACUCUCGUUAAGGAACUCGGCAAAAUGACCCCGUAACUUCGGGAGAAGGGGUGCUGACUUUAAGUCAGCCGCAGUGAAUAGGCCCAAGCAACUGUUUAUCAAAAACACAGCUCUCUGCUAAAUCGUAAGAUGAUGUAUAGGGGGUGACGCCUGCCCGGUGCUGGAAGGUUAAGAGGAGUGCUUAGCGUAAGCGAAGGUAUGAAUUGAAGCCCCAGUAAACGGCGGCCGUAACUAUAACGGUCCUAAGGUAGCGAAAUUCCUUGUCGGGUAAGUUCCGACCCGCACGAAAGGCGUAAUGAUUUGGGCACUGUCUCAACGAGAGACUCGGUGAAAUUUUAGUACCUGUGAAGAUGCAGGUUACCCGCGACAGGACGGAAAGACCCCAUGGAGCUUUACUGCAGUUUGAUAUUGAGUGUCUGUACCACAUGUACAGGAUAGGUAGGAGUCUAAGAGAUCGGGACGCCAGUUUCGAAGGAGACGCUGUUGGGAUACUACCCUUGUGUUAUGGCCACUCUAACCCAGAUAGGUGAUCCCUAUCGGAGACAGUGUCUGACGGGCAGUUUGACUGGGGCGGUCGCCUCCUAAAAGGUAACGGAGGCGCCCAAAGGUUCCCUCAGAAUGGUUGGAAAUCAUUCGCAGAGUGUAAAGGUAUAAGGGAGCUUGACUGCGAGAGCUACAACUCGAGCAGGGACGAAAGUCGGGCUUAGUGAUCCGGUGGUUCCGUAUGGAAGGGCCAUCGCUCAACGGAUAAAAGCUACCCUGGGGAUAACAGGCUUAUCUCCCCCAAGAGUUCACAUCGACGGGGAGGUUUGGCACCUCGAUGUCGGCUCGUCGCAUCCUGGGGCUGUAGUCGGUCCCAAGGGUUGGGCUGUUCGCCCAUUAAAGCGGCACGCGAGCUGGGUUCAGAACGUCGUGAGACAGUUCGGUCCCUAUCCGUCGCGGGCGUAGGAAAUUUGAGAGGAUCUGCUCCUAGUACGAGAGGACCAGAGUGGACUUACCGCUGGUGUACCAGUUGUCUUGCCAAAGGCAUCGCUGGGUAGCUAUGUAGGGAAGGGAUAAACGCUGAAAGCAUCUAAGUGUGAAACCCACCUCAAGAUGAGAUUUCCCAUGAUUAUAUAUCAGUAAGAGCCCUGAGAGAUGAUCAGGUAGAUAGGUUAGAAGUGGAAGUGUGGCGACACAUGUAGCGGACUAAUACUAAUAGCUCGAGGACUUAUCCGAA